rnacentral:rRNA from 1 species
AUUGAACGCUGGCGGCAGGCCUAACACAUGCAAGUCGAACGAGUGUCGGACGGGUGAGUAAUGUCUGUGAAACUGCCCGCUGGAGGGGGAUAUCUACUGUCAACGGUAGCUAAUACCGCAUACCCUCUGAUGUGCCCCGAUGGGAUUAGCUUGUAGGUGGGGUAACGGCUCACCUAGGCGACGAUCCCUAGCUGGUCUGAGAGGAUGAUCAGCCACACUGGAACUGAGACACGGCCCAGACUCCUACGGGAGGCAGCAGUGGGGAAUAUUGGACAAUGGGCGAAAGCCUGAUCCAGCCAUACCGCGUGUGUGAAGAAGGCCUUCGGGUUGUAAAGCACUUUUGGUGGGAAAGCGGUACCCAAAGAAGAAGCACCGGCUAACUUCGUGCCAGCAGCCGCGGUAAUUC